AUCGCUUCUCGGCCUUUUGGCUAAGAUCAAGUGUAGAUCUUAGUGCUCCGUAAAAAUUCCAAAUUUUUAGCCAAAGUUUUGUUUAUAAGGCCAUAUCUAUA
rnacentral:sRNA from 1 species